AUGGGUUAACGCCUUCGGGCACAAUCCCCACCCUUUGUAACUGCGGCCCGGAUUCGGCGCCUGGCGGGGAGCACCCUCUGUUCGCGGAGGGCCCCGCCUGCCGGAAUUAGCCAACCCUGCCUAGAAAAUUGAAGUCUGAGUACUAUAUAAUAAGUUA
rnacentral:misc_RNA from 1 species